UACGUAGGGGGCAAGCGUUGUCCGGAUUUACUGGGUGUAAAGGGUGCUCAGGUGGCUUGGAAAGUCAGUGGUGAAAUCCGAGAGCUUAACUCUCAAACUGCCAUUGAUACUUCUUAGCUUGAGUACGGAAGAGGCUGAUGGAAUUUCAGGUGUAGCAGUGAAAUGCGUAGAUAUCUGAAAGAACACCAGUGGCGAAAGGCGGUCAGCGUGGUCCGUUACUGACACUAAGCACGAAAGCGUGGGUAGCAAACAGG
rnacentral:rRNA from 1 species